UUCCUGUAUCUCAUCAAGAGAUUCAUUAAUUUACUCUGUAAAGGCAUCUAUCAUAUAUAUAAGCACUGAAGAUCCACUCUCAUUUUGCCUAUGACCACCUAGUGGACACAUACCAAAGAACCUGCAAUUGAGUCUCUUGCUGUCCUGAAACCAUACUAUACAGCAGACGGUCUAGAACUCAGAGACGAUCCUCAUGCAUCUGUAUCCUUAGUGCUGGUAUUGAAGAUGUGCUUCACCACACCUGAGUAAAAGACCAAGUUCUUAGCACAUAGUAUUUGAAGGAAAUGGAUCCAUAUUCCAAGCUGUAGCAAAGUCCAAGGU